rnacentral:misc_RNA from 1 species
UUUUUUUUUUUUUUUUUAUCAAAAUUUGGGGAAAUCAUGUAAAUUACCACUUGUCUAGGGCUUUUGGAAGAUGGAGACAGAAUAUAGGUAUGUGUACAGGGUCUCAUCUCUCCAGUGAUUUUUACUCGUGGCCUGGUUUCCCUGCACAUGUGCAGAGGGGCCUGUUUCUUUUUGGUGCCCCACUAGGUUAGUGCAUGUAUUUGUCACACUUGCAGCAGAUGUUGGUAGUGAUCAUUGUUAUGGGCAAAA